GUACUGCUGAAGAGUCCCAAACUAGGACAGAGGAAACAGCUGUCUAGUAC
rnacentral:hammerhead_ribozyme from 1 species